rnacentral:rRNA from 1 species
GACGAACGCUGGCGGCGUGCCUAAUCCAUGCAAGUAGAACGCAGUUGCGAACGGGUGAGUAACGCGUAGGUAACUGCCUCAUAGCGGGGGAUAACUAUUGGAAACGAUAGCUAAUACCGCAUCCUUUUGGAUGGACCUGCGUUGUCUUUGCUAGUUGGUGAGGUAACGGCUCACCAAGGCGACGAUACAUAGCCGACCUGUGAGGGUGAUCGGCACAAAUGGGACUGGGACAAGGACCAGACUCCGACGGGAGGCAGCAUGAGGGAAACUUCGGAAAUGGACGGAAGGCUGACCGAGCAACGCCGCGGGAGUGAAGAAGGUUUUCGGAUCGUAAAGCUCCGUUGUGAGAGAAGCGGUAACUAACCAGAAAGGGACGGCUAACUACGUGCCAGCCGCCGCGGUAAUAC